ACGGAAGGCAGCAGUGGGGAAUAUUGGGCAAUGGGCGCAAGCCUGACCCAGCAAUGCCGCGUGAAGGAAGAAGGCUUUCGGGUUGUAAACUUCUUUUAAGUGGGACGAUAAUGACGGUACCACUUGAAUAAGCUCCGGCUAACUACGUGCCAGCAGCCGCGGUAAUACGUAGGGAGCAAGCGUUAUCCGGAUUUACUGGGUGUAAAGGGCGUGUAGGCGGGACAUCAAGUCAGAUGUGAAAGCACGAGGCUCAACUUCGUGUCUGCAUUUGAAACUGACGUUCUUGAGUGUUGGAGAGGCUAACGGAACUCCUAGUGUAGCGGUGAAAUGCGUAGAUAUUAGGAAGAACACCAGUGGCGAAGGCGGUUAGCAGGACAAUAACUGACGCUGAGGCGCGAAAGCGUGGGUAGCAAACAGGAUUAGAUACCCUGGUA
rnacentral:rRNA from 1 species